UACGUAGGGUGCAAGCGUUGUCCGGAAUUACUGGGCGUAAAGCGUGCGCAGGCGGUCUGUUAAGACCGAUGUGAAAUCCCCGGGCUUAACCUGGGAACUGCAUUGGGUGACUGGCAGGCUUUGAGUGUGGCAGAGGGAGGUAGAAUUCCACGUGUAGCAGUGAAAUGCGUAGAGAUGUGGAGGAAUACCGAUGGCGAAGGCAGCCUCCUGGGCCAACACUGACGCUCAUGCACGAAAGCGUGGGGAGCAAACAGG
rnacentral:rRNA from 1 species